rnacentral:rRNA from 1 species
UACGUAGGGGGCGAGCGUUGUCCGGAUUUAUUGGGCGUAAAGAGCUCGUAGGCGGUUUGGUAAGUCGGGUGUGAAAGUCCGAGGCUCAACCUCGGGAAGCCACCCGAUACUGCUAUGACUUGAGUCCGGUAGAGGAGUGUGGAAUUCCUGGUGUAGCGGUGAAAUGCGCAGAUAUCAGGAGGAACACCAAUGGCGAAGGCAGCACUCUGGGCCGGUACUGACGCUGAGGAGCGAAAGCGUGGGUAGCAAACAGG